rnacentral:piRNA from 1 species
UGCAUGUAUGUCUGUGAAUUAUGUAUGUGU